rnacentral:SRP_RNA from 1 species
GCGCGGGUCCUGCGCGGCACUGCGCCGUGAACCAUGUCAGGCGGGGAACCGAGCAGCAUUCAGCGGAAUGCCGUGUGCGCCGCAGUCCGCCUGUGCGCC